rnacentral:lncRNA from 1 species
ACUAUUUUUUCCUCACUUUAUUUACCAUCAAUUCAGAUACUUAUAUGUCUUGCACAUUUGCAGGCACUAUUAAUAUAAAACUGGAGUAUACAAUUUAUAAUAAGGACUUGGUCUUCCCUUGGGGGCUUAUGUUUAGUAGAGACUGAUGACGGUAUAUAUACAUGAAAUUGUUAAAAUGGGUUAUAAUUAAGUGCUGGGGGAGUAGGGGAGAGAUCAGAAGUUACCAGGAAUUCAGAAGAGGGAGUAAGUCUGUGGUCAGAUGGGUUCAUAGAGAAGAUGAGGC